rnacentral:siRNA from 1 species
UUCGAACCUAACAUCUCUACCUA